rfam:Firmicutes bacterium CAG:110 genomic scaffold, scf83
AGAGGAUUUGUGUAACGGUAGCACACCGGACUCUGACUCCGUUUGCGGGGGUUCGAAUCCCUCAUCCUCUG